UACGUAGGGGGGCAAGCGUUGUCCGGAUUUAUUGGGCGUAAAGAGCGUGUAGGCGGCCAAGCAGGUCCGCUGUGAAAACUCGAGGCUCAACCUCGAGACGUCGGUGGAAACCGUUUGGCUAGAGUCCGGAAGAGGAGAGUGGAAUUCCCCGGUGUAGCGGUGAAAUGCGCAGAUAUCGGGAAGAACACCCGUGGCGAAGGCGGCUCUCUGGGACGGUACUGACGCUGAGACGCGAAAGCGUGGGGAGCGAACAGG
rnacentral:rRNA from 1 species